AGGACGAACGCUGGCGGCGUGCUUAACACAUGCAAGUCGAGCGGAAAGGCCCUUCGGGGUACUCGAGCGGCGAACGGGUGAGUAACACGUGGGCAACCUGCCCCUAGCUCUGGGAUAACUCCGGGAAACCGGGGCUAAUACCGGAUACGAUCUUCCACGGCAUCUCGGAAGAUGGAAAGUUUUUUCGGCUAGGGAUGGGCCCGCGGCCUAUCAGCUUGUUGGUGAGGUAACGGCCCACCAAGGCGACGACGGGUA
rnacentral:rRNA from 1 species